GAUGAACGCUGGCGGCGUGCCUAAUACAUGCAAGUCGAGCGAACAGAUGAGGAGCUUGCUCCUCUGACGUUAGCGGCGGACGGGUGAGUAACACGUGGAUAACCUACCUAUAAGACUGGGAUAACUUCGGGAAACCGGAGCUAAUACCGGAUAAUAUAUUGAACUGCAUGGUUCAAUAGUGAAAGACGGUUUUGCUGUCACUUAUAGAUGGAUCCGCGCCGCAUUAGCUAGUUGGUAAGGUAACGGCUUACCAAGGCAACGAUGCGUAGCCGACCUGAGAGGGUGAUCGGCCACACUGGAACUGAGACACGGUCCAGACUCCUACGGGAGGAAGCAGUAGGGAAUCUUCCGCAAUGGGCGAAAGCCUGACGGAGCAACGCCGCGUGAGUGAUGAAGGUCUUCGGAUCGUAAAACUCUGUUAUUAGGGAAGAACAAAUGUGUAAGUAACUAUGCACGUCUUGACGGUACCUAAUCAGAAAGCCACGGCUAACUACGUG
rnacentral:rRNA from 1 species